GUGGUGCUUCAGGUUAAGAACAGUUUUAGGUUAAGAACGGACCUCCGGAACGAUUUAAGUACUUAACCCAAGGUACCACUGUACAUUUAAAGCACUACUAUACCACUUUAAAUAGUAUUCAGCCACUUUAAAUUCUGAGAGCUUUCGUUUGUUAAGGGUACAGAGAGUUGCUAGGAGACCUCUGUUCCCCUCACAGAUCUACAGUUCCCAGAGUUACUUGGGAAAAGGAAUUGACUGUUAAACCACUCUGAGAAUUAUAGCGCUUGCCCCCUGUGUCCCUAUCCGGCCACUUUGAUCUACGGAAACAAGCACUUUUACAAGUUCCACAUAAUGUUUGCUCUGUACUUGCAAGAAGCCAGACUUUUUGUGUUGCAGCAUGUGAGGGGAAUGGGGGGUAGGGGUCUCCUACAACUCUCAGCACCCUUAACAAACUGCAGCUCCCAAUAUUUUGGGGGGAAACCAUAAAAGUUUAAAGUGAUCUCAUAAUGCUUCAGGGGUGCCCAAACUUUUUUCAAAGAGGGCCAGAUUUGAUGAAGUGAACAUGAGUGAGGGCCAACCAAAGUUGUUGAGCUUUGCUUUUUUUAGGAUUUUCCCCAAAAGUUGUUGAGCUUUUUUUAGGACUGACUGGCCACAGGAACCAGAUUAAAUCAGCCAGAGGGCUGGGUUAGGCUUUGGACAUGCCUGCUAUAUGUACAGUGCAGAUGGGACCUAGAUUUCACUUGAAGGCCAAUAACCUUCACCCUGAACCAAUCAGAAACCCUCCAGAUGUUGUGGACUGAAACUCCCAUGAUCCAUGUCCAUUGUCUGUGUUGACUGAUGCUCAUGGGAUCUGUAGUCCGCAGCAUUAUUAUUUUCCAUGGGGGUGGUAUCAUGCCGGCUAACCCUGUAUCCAAUUUGAUUGGUGCUAAUUCAAACAUACUUGCUGGAUCAGAACGAGGAAGUGGCCUCAGGGAUAAUAUCUCUAAUUCCGCAGGGG